GACGAACGCUGGCGGCGUGCUUAACACAUGCAAGUCGAACGGAAAGGCCCUGCUUUUGUGGGGUGCUCGAGUGGCGAACGGGUGAGUAACACGUGAGUAACCUGCCCUUGACUUUAGGAUAACUUCAGGAAACUGGGGCUAAUACCGGAUAGGAGCUCCUGCUGCAUGGUGGGGGUUGGAAAGUUUCGGCGGUUGGGGAUGGACUCGCGGGUUAUCAGCUUGUGGGUGGGGUAGUGGCUUACCAAGGCUUUGACGGGUAGCCGGCCUGAGAGGGUGACCGGCCACAUUGGGGCUGAGAUACGGCCCCGACUCCUACGGGAGGCAGCAGUGGGGAAUAUUGCACAAUGGGCGGAAGCCUGAUGCAGCAACGCCGCGUGCGGGAUGACGGCCUUCGGGUUGUAAACCGCUUUCGCCUGUGACGAAGCGUGAGUGACGGUAAUGGGUAAAGAAGCACCGGCUAACUACGUG
rnacentral:rRNA from 1 species